rnacentral:tRNA from 1 species
GCGUCUGUCGUAUAAUGGUUAUUAUCUCUGCCUUCCAAGCAGAGGACGCGAGUUCGAUUCUCGCCGGACGCA